UGUCAAGUUCAAAUCUCACUC
rnacentral:misc_RNA from 1 species